rnacentral:piRNA from 1 species
UGGCAACUCGGAGUUUGACCCACCGG